rnacentral:rRNA from 1 species
UACGUAGGGUGCGAGCGUUGUCCGGAAUUACUGGGCGUAAAGCGUGCGUAGGUGGUUUGUUAAGUCUGAUGUGAAAGCCCUGGGCUCAACCUGGGAAUUGCAUUGGAUACUGGCAGGCUAGAGUGCGGUAGAGGGUAGUGGAAUUCCCGGUGUAGCAGUGAAAAUGCGUAGAGAUCGGGAGGAACACCUGUGGCGAAAGCGGCUCACUGGACCACAACUGACGCUGAGGCGCGAAAAGCUAGGGGGAGCAAACAGGG